rnacentral:tRNA from 1 species
GGGGCCUUAGCUCAGCUGGGAGAGCGCCUGCCUUGCACGCAGGAGGUCAGCGGCUCAGCUGGGAGAGCGCCUGCCUUGCACGCAGGAGGUCAGCGGUUCGAUCCCGCUAGGCUCCA